rnacentral:lncRNA from 1 species
GGCUAAAAAUAGAACAUAGGGGUAAAAUGCAGUUUUUGGCUUAUAACUUAAAAACCAAAGCAUUUAGAGCAAAUAUGACAGCGGUAAAAUUGUUUAUCAGGUCAAGAUCUAUCUACCCUGAAAUUUUCAGAUGAAUCUGACAACCUGUUGUUGGGUUGCUGCCCCUGAAUAGGUAAUUUUAAGGAAAUUUUGCUGUUUUUGGUUAUUAUCUUGUAUAUUAUUAUAGAUAGAAAUAAACUGUAAACCGCCAUUAUGUUCAGCAAAGUAAGAUUUACAAAUAAGUCAACAUGACCGAAAUGGUCAGUUGACUCCUUUAGGAGUUAUUGCCCUUUAUAGUCAAUUUUUAACCAUUUUUCGUAAAUCUUAGUAAUCUUUUACAAAAAUCUUCUCCUCUGAAACUACUGGGCCAAAUUUAUCCAAACUCGGCCACAAUUAUCUUUGGGGUAUCUAGUUUAAAAAAUGUGUCCGGUGACCCGGCCAACUAACCAAGAUGGCCGCCACGGCUAAAAAUAGAACAUAGGGGUAAAAUGCAGUUUUUGGCUUAUAACUUAAAAACCAAAGCAUUUAGAGC